AAAAAAAUUGUUUUUAUUAAAUUAAUAGUACAUUAUUUCUAAGCAUUAUAACUUUAAUUUCCUACACUUAUAAGGUUGUUCAUGCGUUAGCAUUUAGUUCUUAGUUAAUCCUGUCAAAAUUAAUCAAAACAAAUUUCACAUGAGAAAAUUAUUAUAAAAUAGAAGCUCGAUGUUCAUAAUACUAAAUCUAUUUUAUUUUUACUUAAAUAUAACAUCUUUUCAAGCGAUAAUAAACAUAACCAACUAUUAAAUUUCUUAAAGUAAAAGGUACUUGUUAUGAUACUUCGAAGACAUCAAGAACUCUACUUUUUUUUUUGUUUCCUAUGUACUGUGGUUAUAAAAAAAUGGAGACAAAUAAAGAGAAAUCUUUCCAAACUGAGAUUUUUAAACAUUUCAAUGUUCGAUAUGGUUUUCGCAGAUAUUUAAUGUGUUUCACAAAAAGGAUCAAAAAAUAUCAAGAAAGUACUCGGUCCACACUGAAUAUUUUAUUAUUUUUUUAUAUUGUAACUGAUCAUUCUUAUGUUAUGGAGCAAUUCAUUCUUUUUUGUAUUUACUUGUUUAUUCAUUCGUUUAUGAUCCUGAAUGUAACGUUGAACUUAAAUCAAAAUUACAAAAGGAUGUGCAUUCAAACUCAACUAGCCACCCUGAUCAAACAAAACGAUUUGUGACGAUUAAAAACGAUUAAAAAUUAAAUCAUCAUUAAUCGUCAUAAUCGUCAUGGAUUUUCAGCUUUAAUCGUCCUAAAUAGUCAAAAGACGAUUUAUUAUUUUACGAUUAAAAACGAUUCAUGACGAUUAAAAUUUUUAAUCGUCAUGAAUCGUUUUUAAUC